GAGCCCAUGAAAAAGAUGCUUGACAACAUUAGCCAUCGGGGAAAUCAAAAUCAGAAUCACGGUGAGAUCCUACUUCACGCCCAUUGAGAGGGAGCUCUAAUGAAAAUGCAGACAGUAAGAAGUGCCGUCAAGGAUGUGGGAAGUUCAGAACCCUCACAUGCUGCUGGGACUGUCAGAGGGUGCGGCCCCUGUGGAAAACAGUUUGGCAGUUCCUCAAAAAGUUGAACAAAGUUGCCCUGUGACCUAGCAAUUCCACUGUUACGUAAAUACCUGAGAGGAAUGAAAACAUAUAUCUACCCCAAAACUUGCACAUAAAUGUUCACACGAGCAUUGUUUUUAAGAUAGCCAAACAUGUAGCGAUAACUAAAUGCCUACCCACUGAUGGAUGGAUAAACAAAAUGUAAUAUAUCUGUACAAUGGAAGACUAUUCAGCUAUAAAAAUGACUGAAGUGCCGGGGAUCGAGCCCAAAUCCUCAUGGAUACCAGUUGGGUUCUUGACACUGAUCCAAAAUGGGAACUCCCCUUAAAAAAAUGUUAUGGCUCCACCUGUGACAUAUGGAAGUUCCUGGGCCAAGGAUUGAAUCUGAGCUGCAGCUGCUAUCUAUGCUUCAGCUGUUGCAAUGCCAGAUCCUUUAACCCACUGCACCCGUCUGGGGAUCAAACCCAAGCCUCCAAGGAGACCUGAGCCACUGAAGUUGGAUUCUUAACCCCUGUACCACAGCAGGAACUCCUGUUAUCCCCAUUUAACAGAUGAGAACGUGGAGACCUAGGAAGUAAAGAGCUGGAACUUGACUCAACUCUAACUUCAGUGUUCUUUCUACCCAUCGCCAGUGGCCUGCAUGUUGACUUACUGUUGCCCUUGGGUGUGUGGCUAAAUGGUUUAGGAAGAGGGGUCAGAGACAGCCUAGCUUGUGGCCCUGUCCUGUACUCUUUUGGACCCUGGUGACCCAUUUAACUGAGAACCCCCAACACCCUGAUGACCAUGUCCCCUUUGUGAGCAAGGAUACAACUUCCCUGGGACAGAUCAGGUCUGGGAUCCAUGCCCAGGGCUGCCUGCCCCGUGCGGAAUUAACAGAGCUGGCCAGUAGCGUUGCAUCCAGUGGCGGUCAGGGCACCUCACAGGUGUUCUUGACACAGAAAAAUGAAUUUUAUAGAAAAUAUUUACAGAGUGCCUGUCAUGGCUCAGGGGAAAGGAAUCUGACUAGGAUCCAUGAGGAUGCAGGUUCCAUCCCUGGCUUCACUCACUGGGUUAAGGAUCUGGCAUUGCCUUGAGCUGUGGUGUAGGUCACAGAUGCAGUUCGGAUCUGGCGUUGCUGUGGCUGUGGUGUAGGCCAGCAGCUACAGCUCUGAUUUGACCCCUAGCCCGGGAACCUCCACAUGCCACGGGCGCAGCCCUAAAAA
rnacentral:lncRNA from 1 species